GAUUGGGACAUGGUAUGCCUGGAGAAGAGAAGUAAUGGUAGUGUGGUGCUAAGCUCUCUGGUAGAGUAAGGGGCUAGGUGGUCAGGGAAGCAGACCUGGGGUUACUGCUCAAAGAAGGGUAUAGAGCUGACUAGAAGUGGGAAGCUACCAGGAGUAGAAGCACCUGAGACUCUUGGGAAGGGUGGUCCUAAAACCUGAGAGAAAAGGAAUGAGUUUCUGUUUGUUUGCUUGCCUGUUUUAAGAGGAUAAACCUUCUGAAAGGAGACUGGACAUGCCAGUGGGUGUUUGGAAGCUGCUGGAAGAACUCUUCUGGUGGUCUGAGCUGAAAGGCAGAGCUCAGUCCUGAAGACUCCAGCAAUAACAUUGGAUCGCCUCCGAAUUCCAUGAGUAAAGAAUUUGGAGAGAAACUGCUAAUAGAAACAAAAUGAUUAGGUAGCCUGCUACAGUAUCCACAUCCACUGCAAAAGGUCAGACUCUCUCUCUUUUUCUCAUUCCACUUUUCUGGAAAAUCCCAACAAGUUGAUAACCUUCAAAACACUUCAAAAAUACACUAACCAGUCUAUUAUUUUCCCAUCUUGUCACGGCCAAAGACAAAGGAAAAUUGCUGCUAGGAAGGCUGGGAUUAGUUUCUGAUACUUUAUCAUGAAGGGCAGUGCAAUAUGACCAUAGGGGAACUAUGGAAAUGACCCUUCCAGAAUUUUUCUUGAGCUAUUUCCUUGAAGACCCCAAAGGAUAAAGCAGUGGCUGUCUAUCCUAAAAUCUAAUGAAGCCAUGAAGCGCAAGAAAUGAAAUGUAAAGAACCAGGGAAGAUUACUAUAUUGACCAUUUCAGCCACAAACUUGCUGUUGACAAUGACAACAGAUGGCAGGAUCCAGUUUGGAUAAAAUAGGAUCUCACCUAAACUUUCACCCAAAACUUAAAUCAAUUUUUUUGUAUGAAGUUCAAAGUUCAAAAAGUGUCUUUUUCUUUAUUUAUUUGUUUUCCAGUUUUAGGCAGAUCUAUUAUU